UCGCCUGUUUUUCAAAAACAUCGCUUAAGUUUUCUUAAGUCCUUCUGCCCAAUGAAAUUUAAAUGGCCGCAGUAUCCUAACUGUGCUAAGGUAGCAUAAUCAUUAGCCUUUUAAUUGAAGGCUUGUAUGAAUGAAUCGACGAGAGAGACUCUUUUUUAACUAUUCUUAAAAAUUUAAGACAAAAGUGAAAACACUUUUUUUAUUUAGAAAGACGAUAAGACCCUAUAAAACUUUAUUAAUAAAUAAGUUUAAAUACCAAGAGAUAUAAUCAAUCUUAUCUUUAAUUAUGCUGGGGCGGCAAAUCUUAUUAUUAACAAGCUUAUCCCAAACAUUUUGUCUGAAUCAAUCAACCUUAUUCAAAAACUAAUAAAAGUUACUUUAGGGAUAACAGCGUAAUUCUUCUUUAGAGUUCUUAUCGGCAGAAAGAGAUUUCGACCUCGAUGUUGAAUUGUAUUAGCUUAAAAGAGCAGCCUCUUAAAAAGUAAGUCUGUUCGACUUUUAAAAAUUCACAUGAUCUGAGUCCAAACCGGA
rnacentral:rRNA from 1 species